GGAAAACCGGUCCAUGAUUUUACUGAUGUGAAAGAAAGGAUUGAAUAUACUGGAUACAUAAGAUGAACAGAAGACUUCACAGUGUCUACUGAAGAAAGAGAGAGAGAAAUAAAAUAAAUCUUCAAGGACAUCUGUAUGUUGCAUGGGCAUUAUUUCAUUGGACUGGUGCAGUUACAAG